CUCAGGGCUGCGGAGCAGGCUGGGUCCGGAAGGGCGGGUCGAGGGAGCGUCACAGACCUUUGCCGGAAGACCAGUCUUUAGGAUUUUGACCUAAUUCAAGUCAUCAACUGCUUUAGAAUUUCUCUCUUAAGCCAAAGAAACAAAAACUGCAGUCAGAGCUGUUUCUAGCCCCGUUGGAGGAGAAUACAGACAGCAAAAAUCCACAAAGCCAGGAAAAUGGGCUUUCCAAAUACCAGAGCAUGUCUCAGAGCAAUUGGAACAUAAGCAUACCAAGUAAAUAAUAAUCCAAUUAACUGUGACAAAAUUCCAGAGAAGAUUCCUUUCCUUUGUGAGAAGACCCAUGU